UAGCACGGGGUAGCUGCGAGUCUGCUCCGGAGAGCCUGGUCGCGGUUGCUGGACCAUCAUCGAGCUAGUUAAUUCGGAAUGAACAACUAGUCGUGAGGCUGUGAGGCUAGUAUUCGGGUUGGGGUUAGGUGCGUGGGAUUUUCUUCUCCCUAAAGGGUAAGGGACACUUAGCUGUGUUCUCUUUCGACGGUUGGGCGACACGUGUUGUUUUCGGACUACGCUGGGCACUAGAGACACGUCUGCACGCUUCGGCACUCCACAGCGAACUGAGCCCAAGCUCACUAUCAUAAAUCUGGAACAAAUACAAUCGGAUUGAAUGGCGGCAAUCGCUUAAUUACGGCUAUGGUAGAAUCUAGAUUAAAGUGUUAAGGGACUUUCCCAAAAUUCCAAAGGAGAGGCUCCGGUGUCCUUUCAUCUCUGAUAUAUAUAUAUAUGCUCAGAUUUCAGAGCUUAGUUUUAGGAGUAAUGUAAUAUCGUAAGGUAGUUCGAAUUAGAAAUCAGUUGAAAAUAGAUAAAACCGAGUACGUCGUCUUUCUGUGGUUCGUUUACAUUUAAGAGUGCCUGCGUGACUAAAGGCACGUAGUUGGUAGUUCUUACAUAGGUAUGAGGGAAACAAUAGACAACGUUAGAAGAAGGACGGUUUCGCUAUCCAAGGCGGGACGACCGAAAGAUCAGAGUGUGCGAGUCGAAAAGUGUGCGUGUUGCGAGAAUCAGAGCUAAUUGAGUCGUCGAAGAGUAGAGUCGUUAGAGGUAAUCGAGUCGUCGAAGAGUAGAGUCGUGAGAAUUGAUAGAGUUGUUAGAGAGAGAGAGUGUGUGUGUGUGUGUUAGAUUCGUUGUGACGAGGGUGGUCAAAUAACUGUAAAGUUAUUUGAUAUAGAUACGAGUAUUGCAUUUAGUUUCCGUUAAAUAAACAUCGUUUUCUGUCCAAUUUAUAUUUGUAUAUUCAAUUUAAUAUUAAUAAAUUGUAAGUAAUCGGAAAAAAAAUUCUAUCCUUAUUUCCACGAUAUUACAGUAAUAUAUUGUAUUUCCCAGAUUACUUUCAUUAAUAUUCGUCUUAAGACAUUAAUAACACUCAAUUUUAAUUUUAUCAAAGCAAAAUAAAUAUUUUUGUUUAAUUAAAACUCUACUCCUAAAAAAAUAAAACUUUUCUAUUUAUGCAAAAUUGCAUGCAAUAAAAGUUUCAAUGAAUACACUUCGUUUUGUAACUGUUUUCUUCAAUCAGAAAAGAUAACGGCCAAAAAAUUAUUGUUAUUCCACAACUAAUUGGAAAUUUUGACAGUUUAAUUCGAUCAUUGGAUCGAUUACACGUACGGUGAUUUUUCAAAUUCGGAAUCAGUUACAGACCUAACUGAAGAGUUAAGCCCUGCGAUGUGUAGUUGGUCCAGGGACAGUGUGGCAAAUCUAUUCGUUCAACGCUGAUUGGUUCCGCCAUUUAUAAAAGCGCUUCCUGCAGCAGUUAUGUAUAGAUUGGUAUAAAUAUAAAUGUAUGAAGUAUACGUUUACAAAGUUGUCUGUAAACAAAGUGUAAUAAUAUUUACCGUGUAUUGGAGUGUAUAUAACGACGGAAAUAAAGAAUAAUAAGAAAAAUCAUCAUAGAGAACAUACAGAAUUAACAUUUAAGUUUGGAACGUUAGUUCAAAUGCCUGAUUACUCAGCCAAGGGAUGCAGAAACAAGUCAAAGAGUGGCCAUAGUUGUACACACAGGUCUGUUAACUGCUGUAAAGGAGAUAAGGUUCUUAAUGUCGCAAGAUGUACUUUACCAAUCGGCCACCAUUGAACACUGCGAUCGAGUAGCUAGGGUUUUGUGUUUGGCGCCAUUCUUCGGUGAAAGCACUAAAGACGUAGCAGUAUAUGCACCACUGCGAACAGGCAGUACAUUGACAGAGAUUAUAGAAGUAGCAUUGGCAACUACUACUUAUGAACCAAAUAACAGGCAAACAAAAAUAAUUCCGCAAGACUUUCUUGACAAAAUCAGAGGAAAAAAGAUUCACUUUCUGCGUACGAGAAUUCCAACUAUUUCCUAUGGAAAGCCACGAACAAAAUAAAGGAGCCAAUUAAACUAAUCCCAGCAAUCAGAUUAACGGACAACACAUGAGCCAGAAGCAACGAAGAGCAAGCUGAAGAAUUUUCCAACCACCUUUGUUGAAGUUAUCUCUUCGAGGAACGCGUGAUGAAUGUGUAACAGAAAUAUAUUUAAGUAUAAGUGUAACUCGUUACAUUACAACAGAGCUUCGAAGCCAUGAGUCUAUGGGUAUUUAUAUAAUUACGAAAACUGGCCGGUCUAUAUAUACCCUGCUGCACCAUCUGUGCAUGGCAUAUUCCUAAAAAAGGCUAUGAGACUGAGAGGCCCUUCAAAUUGAUUUAGAGCUAAACAAUACUCAAUAGCAUCGGGGACUAAGAGAACUAAACGCUAGAGAAGAUGUAGUUUUCCUAGAAACCUAAUUUUUGUCGUAAAUAUUGAAAUCUUGGUUUCGGUAACGCCUUCGUAAAUAUAUCUGCUUGUUACGUCCGGCGACUCUCUACACAAAGCAGACUCCACGCCACAACCAUACCGUCGACCGAUGGGUCCGCGGUAGAAAACGGUAACAAGGAAGAAUGGCCGCAGGAAAUCCCUGACUCCUAAAGCCGCGAGCAAGGUGGUUGGAGCGGAGGAAGCGGCGAUUGAAGCCAUGAACUUAGGUGAUUAAGAUUAAGGGUACGCACCCUCCAGAACAAUCUGGGACAGUCAAGACCUGCUUUUCCAAACCAUUCUGGAGAGCACGGUUGCCCUAGCGGUGGUGGCCGAGCCAUACAGAGUCCUGGACGCUCCGGACUGCGCCGGAGAUACAGACGGCUGUCACCUGGACAUCAGCGCCGGCAUCGUCCGCCCACAGGGAUCCUCUGGAGCGCGGCAACGGAUACGCAGCGGUCGAAUGGUCAGGAAUGGUGGUAGUGGCCGUGUAUGUGUCGCCCAACAGCGAAUGGACAGCGUUCGAGGAGUUCUUGAACGGGGUAGACGACUGCCAUUACGAUUACGAGAUAUAGUAUUACGUUAUAAUACAUUACAUUAUAACGUAUUCCGUUAAAUUGAAUUACGUUAUAUCAUAUUACGUUUUGCCGUUCCUUCACAUACUGAGCAGAAGGCGAACGUUACCAUGAUCGCGGACGGAUAUUAAGACAGGCGGAGUGGGGAUAUGGUAAGAAUAGAAAGGGAGGCAAGUGGAUCAACACAGCAGUUGCCCGUAACCAGUCGUCAGUAGGAAUCGCAACCAGAGAUUUCUGAAGAAGUCGCUGGUCAAGAAAGCAAACGAACUGCGGAACGAAGCGCCGCGUAUUAAGUUGGCAGCCUUCACGUAAUAGAGUACAUUCAGUAAUAUAGUAUUACGUUAUAUAUGUCGGAGAUGAAAGAACACCGGAGUCUGUAAUUGAACAAUUGUAGUUAUUCAAUCCGAUUGUAAUUGUUCGAGAGUUGUGAUAAUGAGCUUGGGCUCGAGGCGACAGUCAGUCGCCGAACGUAGCCGCGGUCACGGGAUGAACGCUUUGUCUAACAAAGGUAUGGAGUAAUUCUAUAGCUCUCCUUAAAAGAAAUAUUCGUGGCGACACGCGACAGUAAACAUUCCAACGGUUUCUGUCCCGUGGCUCGCCACACGCAGACCCUAUUCUUCGAGUAAGAUGAUUACCAGAUGUCGAUGCGUCUCCGCAGUACAUGUUCGGCUAGCCUGAGGACCCGUUAUAAAUCCUAAGAUUUAAUUAACUAAAGUCCUUCAAACAAACAAACAGUCAUUGUCCCAACUACGGGAAAAUAGGGGAGACCUAUUUUUCGACGAGCGGCGUCUCCCACUAGCAACUUUCCAUCGAGGGCGGCUAGCAUCUUUUUCUAACCACCGAUAUGGAGAUUGACCAAUUAGCAGCAACGCCAAUUUGUCUUACUUUCUGAACGAAGGCUUUUCUCGACGAAUCCGAUGAUCUCGUGUCCUUAGACACACCCCAUUAUAGUUUUCCUCUGUGGCAUCAUCGGGACGGGAAAGGCAUUCUCGCUCGCGAUCUCAGUGAUGAAAGGAGUAACUCUUUACAACCAGUGAAUAUUACGCAUCCGACUUAGAUUUCGGAUACCUAGGCAUGUUGGGUCCCAAAGGUGCUAGUGGUAUCAUUGCACUGUUCACGCCCAGUAGUGCCAAGUGCCAACUCCUCCUCCAAGUCGGUGGGGCUGGUAAAUACUGACUUGUCAGUGGCUACGUGGAUGGCGACGUGGCUUAAGAACUCAUCCUGCCCGAGGAAGAGAACAUGCAUCAUGGCGUAAACAAUCACACGUCGCAGACCCGAUCGGGUGUCGUGGCGGGUUAAGCCUUUCGUUACUGGCGGCUUCUCCUGCGUCACAAGCGCUCUGCGCCAAAAAGAAAAAACUUUCCUCGAAACAGGGUAUUUAUAACUUCUUAACACACUCACUUUUAAUUGAAAUUUGGGUAGGCCUACUUUGGGGGGGGGGGGACAAUCGUCUCCCCUAACGCCACAUUUAGUUAGUUAGUUCAUAGGAUAGGCCUAACGAGAAGACGCGGGGAGUGUACCGGCAGUAAUUUCCAAGAGGUCUCGGACACUGCUGCCAAACGUGUAGGUUGGCCACCGUGGAGUUUUUGUCAGUAGGAGUCUGGCACUACUCCACUAAUUCUCCAGAAUGCAGCGGAGUGUCCAUGAGGAUUUCUCCACGUAGAAGAAAAAAAGAAAGAAGGUGUUGAAGCAUAUAAAUAGGUGAUAUAUCGUAUUUCAAUUCUUUGAAUUUUGUUUGAAUUAUUGUUAAUUACAAUCACAAUUUCUGAUAAUAUCAUGCACACGAUUAAGUGUAACCACGCUCUUAAUCGUCAUCGUUGUCAAUUACAAUUAUAAUUCCAAGUUUACUUACAUUCAUUUUAACGAAACCAAUGUUUAUUGCUAGAACACGCGCAUAUUCGUACAACGAUGUUAAAAAUCUGAGCGUAAUGGAAAUGUACGUACAGCAGAUACUCACAGGAAAAACCAACGAGACUAAUAAUAAAAUCAAUGAAUUAGAAAAAAAGAGCUAUAGACAAAUAUCUUAUAAUAUACCGUGGCAUAAUCUGCAAUUUAUUAUAAAAUAAUUGAUCCCAGCAGUAUCAAUUAUAAAAGAAGAUGGCUGAAUAUGAUAGACACUGUCGAAUACUAAUCAAAUAUAAUCAUUUAGUUAAUCUUUAAGAUUUAAGUUAAGAUACAUCUUUGAGGAAUCAAUAAGUCUUUCGCUAAUAGCCUAAUAGAUCCCUUGAUAGAUCAAACGAAGAAAUACCUAACCGCGAUUACAGCCAAUUGGUACAUAUUAUUCGAUACAUAAUUAAUAUCUGUAUCGCGUACAGCGAUGCAAGUGGUAUUGAAGAAAAUAGCCAUUUUAUGUUACAACUAUAACGAGUAAAUUUACUCGUUUAACUUGAGAGGAAUUAAAAAGGUACCUGACUUUUAAAUAAGCAUUAAAUAAGAAAUUUAAAUAUCGCAGACGGUGAUGUAGGUGUUAUUCAAGAAAAGAGAACAUUUUAUUUUGUAAUUAGCACGAGUAAAUGAACGAAUAUCGAUAAUAUAAUAUAAUGAUUAAUAUGAA